GAUGAACGCUGGCGGCGUGCUUAACACAUGCAAGUCGAACGAUGAAGCCCAGCUUGCUGGGUGGAUUAGUGGCGAACGGGUGAGUAACACGUGAGUAACCUGCCCUUAACUCUGGGAUAAGCCUGGGAAACUGGGUCUAAUACCGGAUAGGAGCGUCCACCGCAUGGUGGGUGUUGGAAAGAUUUAUCGGUUUUGGAUGGACUCGCGGCCUAUCAGCUUGUUGGUGAGGUAAUGGCUCACCGAGGCGACGACGGGUAGCCGGCCUGAGAGGGUGACCGGCCACACUAGGACUGAGACACGGCCCAGACUCCUACGGGAGGCAGCAGUGGGGAAUAUUGCACAAUGGGCGCAAGCCUGAUGCAGCGACGCCGCGUGAGGGAUGACGGCCUUCGGGUUGUAAACCUCUUUCAGUAGGGAAGAAGCGAAAGUGACGGUACCUGCAGAAGAAGCACCGGCUAACUACGUG
rnacentral:rRNA from 1 species